rnacentral:rRNA from 1 species
UACGUAGGGUGCGAGCGUUGUCCGGAAUUAUUGGGCGUAAAGAGCUCGUAGGCGGUGUGUCACGUCGAUCGUGAAAACUUACAGCUUAACUGUGAGCGUGCGGUCGAUACGGGCAUCACUGGAGUUCGGCAGGGGAGACUGGAAUUCCUGGUGUAGCGGUGAAAUGCGCAGAUAUCAGGAGGAACACCGGUGGCGAAGGCGGGUCUCUGGGCAACAACUGACGCUGAGGAGCGAAAGCGUGGGGAGCGAACAGG